CCUACGGGAGGCAGCAGUGAGGAAUAUUGGUCAAUGGACGCAAGUCUGAACCAGCCAAGCCGCGUGCAGGAAGACGGCUCUAUGGGUUGUAAACUGCUUUUAUACGGGGAUAAAGCCCGCUACGUGUGUCUUGUUGCAUGUAUCCUACGAAUAAGGAUCGGCUAACUCCGUGCCAGCAGCCGCGGUAAUACGGAGGAUGCAAGCGUUAUCCGGAUUUAUUGGGUUUAAAGGGUGCGUAGGUGGUUUGAUAAGUUAGAGGUGAAAUUCCGUGGCUCAACUACGGAACUGCCUGUGAUACUGGAGGGCUAGAGUGUAGUUGCGGUAGGCGGAAUGCAUGGUGUAGCGGUGAAAUGCAUAGAGAUCAUAAAGAACACCGAUUGCGAAGGCAGCUUACUAAACUACGACUGACGUUGAGGCACGAAAGCGUGGGGAGCAAACAGGAUUAGAUACCCCAGUAGUC
rnacentral:rRNA from 1 species